CAGCGUUGUUCCUGCUCCAGAGACUGCAUGCCAGGACAACUUCUCUGCUGCCAGACCUUUGCCUGGUCCUUGCCCACGCUUUAUCUGCUCUUUCAUACCUCCUGGGAACAAGAGAACUGAGAAACACAAGUACUUUAAAUGCAGCAACUGUGGUGACACCAGGAAGUAAGAAUUUCAGGAAGCUGCAGAAGUGCCCUUAUCAAACAAAUUGAGCGUCUUUGACACGUCAGGGAGGCUUUGUCAGCUCCCUCAGCAUCAGACCCAGGAGCCUCUUUGGUUUUCCAGCCCAGAUAAUGCAUGCAGAGGGCUGAAAACUAAGCCAGGUGUUUGCAGCUUUGUGCUUCUUUAAGAGUGGAAACAAAUGUGGUUCCAGAUGACCUUGAGCAGCACUUGUGCCUUCUAACGAGAAGUCGCUGAGAGCGUUCUGCUGGAACCUCUUUGAGCGCUCUGCUGUUUGCUGAGUGAAAGGACAAAGGACUGACAAUAAGGCAGAACAUGCCACUGCGCCGCUCUCUACACCUGCCUGUCGGAGCUGCCUUGUGUGUCGCAGGUGCUGUGUUUGUGCCAUCCCCGGGCGAGCAGACGAGAGGAGCGGCCUCGGGGGCGGGCUGGCGGCUGCUGCCCCGCGCUCCCCCUGCAGCGGGGCCGGGCUGGGCGGGGGGG